CCCUUAGAUGUUCUGGGCCGCACGCGCGCUACACUGACAGAGCCAGCGAGUUUUUUUCCUUGGUCGGAAGGUCUGGGUAAUCUUGUGAAACUCUGUCGUGCUGGGGAUAGAGCAUUGCAAUUAUUGCUCUUCAACGAGGAAUACCUAGUAAGCGUGAGUCAUCAGCUCGCGUUGAUUACGUCCCUGCCCUUUGUUCACACCGCCCGUCGCUACUACCGAUUGAAUGGCUUAGUGAGGUCUUGGGAUUGGCUUCGAGGAACCGGCAACGGUACCUUGUUGCUGAGAACUUGAUCAAACUUGGUCAUUUAGAGGAAGUAAAAGUCGUAACA
rnacentral:rRNA from 1 species